rnacentral:rRNA from 1 species
GGGAUUAGUGGCGAACGGGUGAGUAACACGUGAGUAACCUGCCCUUAACUCUGGGAUAAGCCUGGGAAACUGGGUCUAAUACUGGAUAUUGACUUUUCACCGCAUGGUGUUUGGUUGAAAGAUUUAUUGGUUUUGGAUGGACUCGCGGCCUAUCAGCUUGUUGGUGGGGUAAUGGCCUACCAAGGCGACGACGGGUAGCCGGCCUGAGAGGGUGACCGGCCACACUGGGACUGAGACACGGCCCAGACUCCUACGGGAGGCAGCAGUGGGGAAUAUUGCACAAUGGGCGCAAGCCUGAUGCAGCGACGCCGCGUGAGGGAUGACGGCCUUCGGGUUGUAAACCUCUUUCAGUAGGGAACAAGGCCAUCUUUUGGGUGGUUGAGGGUACUUGCAGAAGAAGCGCCGGCUAACUACGUGCCAGCAGCCGCGGUAAUACGUAGGGCGCAAGCGUUAUCCGGAAUUAUUGGGCGUAAAGAGCUCGUAGGCGGUUUGUCGCGUCUGCCGUGAAAGUCCGGGGCUCAACUCCGGAUCUGCGGUGGGUACGGGCAGACUAGAGUGAUGUAGGGGAGACUGGAAUUCCUGGUGUAGCGGUGAAAUGCGCAGAUAUCAGGAGGAACACCGAUGGCGAA